UUAUGUCGGACUCCGGCGCCUCCUGAAUU
rnacentral:sRNA from 1 species